AGAGAGAGAGAGAAUUAUGUAGAAUUUUAUAUCAAUUAGUUUUUUUCAAAGCAAUCUCAUUAUAUACAUAUACAAGAAAGUUUCUAACAUAUGUUUGGUUAAGUGUGUUACAGCAGUGUAUCUAAGAAUCUAACAGGUUGCUAGGUGAUAAGAAGCUAGUGUCAUUCACUGCAUCAGAAUUCCAAAUGUUUCCAUACAGAGAAGAUUCCAGGAAAUGGUUGCUUAGCAGGAUUGCUGAUGAGAAGGGCUCUCAAGAUUUGAAGACAGACAAGAGUGACAAGGGGGUGUUGUGUUUGGGUCAUGAUUGAGGACAAUGUCCCGUCCAGAGGCAAGCUGUUUCUUGUUGAGGUUUUUUCAUGCCGACCAUCGAAAAUACCCUCUCGGCAUUUGCAUUAGAAUGAGGAAUCACUAAAACCAAGACUACUUGUUCUGGAACAGGUGUUGUCAGUGACCCGGGGCCCCCUGGCACCAUCUCAGGGCCCCCAGUUUGAGAACCACUGGCCUAGGCUACUUGUUCUGAGCAGGUGUUGUUAGUGAACAGGAUGUAAAACUGUUGGCUAAGUUACAGACACUCAUGAAAAACUCCUGCUGAUUAUCUGGUGAACAGUCUCUAACAGCAGUCACAAUGUCAUUGUUUGUGUCAAACAAGUUGUGAAUUUGUUGUAACAUUAAAACAGGAGAUCAUGACUUACUCUGUGCUCAAAGUGAUGCUCACAGCUCCAGUGGUUU